rnacentral:misc_RNA from 1 species
UCCGAGUUGACCCCGGCAGUCUCCUGCGAGUCCCCGCCAUUACGCGCUGGCAACACAGGACAAGGGUUGCGCUCGUUGCGGGACUUAACCCAACAUCUCACGACACGAGCUGACGACAGCCAUGCACCACCUGUGCACCUGCCCCGAAGGGCUGCCGUAUUUCUACGGCAUUCAGGUGCAUGUCAAGCCCUGGUAAGGUUCUUCGCGUUGCGUCGAAUUGAACCACAUGCUCCGCUGCUUGUGCAGGCCCCCGUCAAUUUCUUUGAGUUUUAGUCUUGUGACCGUACUCCCCAGGCGGAGUGCUUAACGCGUUAGCUUCGGCACCACGAGGGUCAAAGCCCGUGACACCUAGCACUCAUCGUUUACGGCGUGGACUAC